rnacentral:rRNA from 1 species
UAGCCGCAGAAAUCUGUGCUAAGGUAGCAUAAUCAUUUGUCUUCUAAUUAAAGACUAGAAUGAACGGUUAAACGAAUAGAAAAUUCUUAAUUAAACAUUAAAUUAAAUUGUAUUUGUUGUAAAAAUACAACAAUAAAAUAAAAAGACGACAAGACCCUAUCGAACUUAACAUCUGUUAUACUGGGGCAGUACAUCAAUAAAAAUUUCAUUACAAAACCUCCAAAAAAACCUUUUACAAAAUAUAAAGUUACCGUAGGGAUAACAGCGCAAUUUACUUUUAAAGUUCUUAUUUUAAAGUAAGAUUACGACCUCGAUGUUGAAUUAAUAUACCAAGCAAACGCAAAAUUUUGAUAGAAAGUCUGUUCGACCUUUAAAUAAUUACAUGAUCUG